rnacentral:tRNA from 1 species
UAUAAUUACUAAAUUG